rnacentral:rRNA from 1 species
UACGUAGGGUGCAAGCGUUAAUCGGAAUUACUGGGCGUAAAGCGUGCGCAGGCGGUUAUGUAAGACAGGUGUGAAAUCCCCGGGCUUAACCUGGGAACUGCAUUUGUGACUGCAUAGCUAGAGUACGGUAGAGGGGGAUGGAACUCCGCGUGUAGCAGUGAAAUGCGUAGAUAUGCGGAGGAACACCGAUGGCGAAGGCAAUCCCCUGGACCUGUACUGACGCUCAUGCACGAAAGCGUGGGGAGCAAACAGG